rnacentral:rRNA from 1 species
UUCGGGGAGCGCGGUGACAGGUGCUGCAUGGCUGUCGUCAGCUCGUGCCGUGAGGUGUUGGGUUAAGUCCCGCAACGAGCGCAACCCUUGUUGAAUAAUCCCAGCGAGUAAUGUCGGGCACUCUAGGGAGACCGCCUCG